CACCUCAUUGACUGGAAGGAAUCCCUUCUGGUCGAUGAGGUUGUUACACCUCAUUGACUGGAAGGAAUCCCUUCUGGUCGAUGAGGUU
rnacentral:miRNA from 1 species